GGGUUGUGAGGUUAAGCGACUAAGCGUACACGGUGGAUGCCCUGGCAGUCAGAGGCGAUGAAGGACGUGCUAAUCUGCGAUAAGCGUCGGUAAGGUGAUAUGAACCGUUAUAACCGGCGAUUUCCGAAUGGGGAAACCCAGUGUGAUUCGUCACACUAUCAUUAACUGAAUCCAUAGGUUAAUGAGGCGAACCGGGGGAACUGAAACAUCUAAGUACCCCGAGGAAAAGAAAUCAACCGAGAUUCCCCCAGUAGCGGCGAGCGAACGGGGAGCAGCCCAGAGCCUGAAUCAGUGUGUGUGUUAGUGGAAGCGUCUGGAAAGGCGUGCGAUACAGGGUGACAGCCCCGUACACAAAAAUGCACAUACUGUGAGCUCGAUGAGUAGGGCGGGACACGUGGUAUCCUGUCUGAAUAUGGGGGGACCAUCCUCCAAGGCUAAAUACUCCUGACUGACCGAUAGUGAACCAGUACCGUGAGGGAAAGGCGAAAAGAACCCCGGCGAGGGGAGUGAAAAAGAACCUGAAACCGUGUACGUACAAGCAGUGGGAGCACGCUUAGGCGUGUGACUGCGUACCUUUUGUAUAAUGGGUCAGCGACUUAUAUUCUGUAGCAAGGUUAACCGAAUAGGGGAGCCGAAGGGAAACCGAGUCUUAACUGGGCGUUAAGUUGCAGGGUAUAGACCCGAAACUCGGUGAUCUAGCCAUGGGCAGGUUGAAGGUUGGGUAACACUAACUGGAGGACCGAACCGACUAAUGUUGAAAAAUUAGCGGAUGACUUGUGGCUGGGGGUGAAAGGCCAAUCAAACCGGGAGAUAGCUGGUUCUCCCCGAAAGCUAUUUAGGUAGCGCCUCGUGAAUUCAUCUCCGGGGGUAGAGCACUGUUUCGGCAAGGGGGUCAUCCCGACUUACCAACCCGAUGCAAACUGCGAAUACCGGAGAAUGUUAUCACGGGAGACACACGGCGGGUGCUAACGUCCGUCGUGAAGAGGGAAACAACCCAGACCGCCAGCUAAGGUCCCAAAGUCAUGGUUAAGUGGGAAACGAUGUGGGAAGGCCCAGACAGCCAGGAUGUUGGCUUAGAAGCAGCCAUCAUUUAAAGAAAGCGUAAUAGCUCACUGGUCGAGUCGGCCUGCGCGGAAGAUGUAACGGGGCUAAACCAUGCACCGAAGCUGCGGCAGCGACGCUUAUGCGUUGUUGGGUAGGGGAGCGUUCUGUAAGCCUGUGAAGGUGUGCUGUGAGGUAUGCUGGAGGUAUCAGAAGUGCGAAUGCUGACAUAAGUAACGAUAAAGCGGGUGAAAAGCCCGCUCGCCGGAAGACCAAGGGUUCCUGUCCAACGUUAAUCGGGGCAGGGUGAGUCGACCCCUAAGGCGAGGCCGAAAGGCGUAGUCGAUGGGAAACAGGUUAAUAUUCCUGUACUUGGUGUUACUGCGAAGGGGGGACGGAGAAGGCUAUGUUGGCCGGGCGACGGUUGUCCCGGUUUAAGCGUGUAGGCUGGUUUUCCAGGCAAAUCCGGAAAAUCAAGGCCGAGGCGUGAUGACGAGGCACUACGGUGCUGAAGCAACAAAUGCCCUGCUUCCAGGAAAAGCCUCUAAGCAUCAGGUAACAUCAAAUCGUACCCCAAACCGACACAGGUGGUCAGGUAGAGAAUACCAAGGCGCUUGAGAGAACUCGGGUGAAGGAACUAGGCAAAAUGGUGCCGUAACUUCGGGAGAAGGCACGCUGAUACGUAGGUGAAGCGACUUGCUCGUGGAGCUGAAAUCAGUCGAAGAUACCAGCUGGCUGCAACUGUUUAUUAAAAACACAGCACUGUGCAAACACGAAAGUGGACGUAUACGGUGUGACGCCUGCCCGGUGCCGGAAGGUUAAUUGAUGGGGUUAGCGCAAGCGAAGCUCUUGAUCGAAGCCCCGGUAAACGGCGGCCGUAACUAUAACGGUCCUAAGGUAGCGAAAUUCCUUGUCGGGUAAGUUCCGACCUGCACGAAUGGCGUAAUGAUGGCCAGGCUGUCUCCACCCGAGACUCAGUGAAAUUGAACUCGCUGUGAAGAUGCAGUGUACCCGCGGCAAGACGGAAAGACCCCGUGAACCUUUACUAUAGCUUGACACUGAACAUUGAGCCUUGAUGUGUAGGAUAGGUGGGAGGCUUUGAAGUGUGGACGCCAGUCUGCAUGGAGCCGACCUUGAAAUACCACCCUUUAAUGUUUGAUGUUCUAACGUGGACCCGUGAUCCGGGUUGCGGACAGUGUCUGGUGGGUAGUUUGACUGGGGCGGUCUCCUCCUAAAGAGUAACGGAGGAGCACGAAGGUUGGCUAAUCCUGGUCGGACAUCAGGAGGUUAGUGCAAUGGCAUAAGCCAGCUUGACUGCGAGCGUGACGGCGCGAGCAGGUGCGAAAGCAGGUCAUAGUGAUCCGGUGGUUCUGAAUGGAAGGGCCAUCGCUCAACGGAUAAAAGGUACUCCGGGGAUAACAGGCUGAUACCGCCCAAGAGUUCAUAUCGACGGCGGUGUUUGGCACCUCGAUGUCGGCUCAUCACAUCCUGGGGCUGAAGUAGGUCCCAAGGGUAUGGCUGUUCGCCAUUUAAAGUGGUACGCGAGCUGGGUUUAGAACGUCGUGAGACAGUUCGGUCCCUAUCUGCCGUGGGCGCUGGAGAACUGAGGGGGGCUGCUCCUAGUACGAGAGGACCGGAGUGGACGCAUCACUGGUGUUCGGGUUGUCAUGCCAAUGGCACUGCCCGGUAGCUAAAUGCGGAAGAGAUAAGUGCUGAAAGCAUCUAAGCACGAAACUUGCCCCGAGAUGAGUUCUCCCUGACCCUUUAAGGGUCCUGAAGGAACGUUGAAGACGACGACGUUGAUAGGCCGGGUGUGUAAGCGCAGCGAUGCGUUGAGCUAACCGGUACUAAUGAACCGUGAGGCUUAACCUUACAACGCCGAAG
rnacentral:rRNA from 1 species